rnacentral:rRNA from 1 species
CAGUGGGAGCACCCUUUGGGGUGUGACUGCGUACCUUUUGUAUAAUGGGUCAGCGACUUAUAUUCUGUAGCAAGGUUAACCGUAUAGGGGAGCCGGAGGGAAACCGAGUCUUAACCGGGCGUUAAGUUGCAGGGUAUAGACCCGAAACCCGGUGAUCUAGCCAUGGGCAGGUUGAAGGUUGGGUAACACUAACUGGAGGACCGAACCGACUAAUGUUGAAAAAUUAGCGGAUGACCUGUGGCUGGGGGUGAAAGGCCAAUCAAACCGGGAGAUAGCUGGUUCUCCCCGAAAGCUAUUUAGGUAGCGCCUCGUGAAUUCAUCUCCGGGGGUAGAGCACUGUUUCGGCUAGGGGGCCAUCCCGGCUUACCAACCCGAUGCAAACUGCGAAUACCGGAGAAUGUUAUCACGGGAGACACACGGCGGGUGCUAACGUCCGUCGUGAAGAGGGAAACAACCCAGACCGCCAGCUAAGGUCCCAAAGUCAUGGUUAAGUGGGAAACGAUGUGGGAAGGCCCAGACAGCCAGGAUGUUGGCUUAGAAGCAGCCAUCAUUUAAAGAAAGCGUAAUAGCUCACUGGUCGAGUCGGCCUGCGCGGAAGAUGUAACGGGGCUAAACCAUG